rnacentral:rRNA from 1 species
UACGUAGGGGGCGAGCGUUGUCCGGAUUUAUUGGGCGUAAAGAGCUCGUAGGUGGUUUGGUAAGUCGGAUGUGAAAUCUCCAGGCUCAACCUGGAGGGGUCAUUCGAUACUGCCAUGACUAGAGUUCGGUAGGGGAGUGUGGAAUUCCUGGUGGAGCGGUGAAAUGCGCAGAUAUCAGGAGGAACACCCGUAGCGAAGGCGGCACUCUGGGCCGAUACUGACGCUGAGACGCGAAAGCGUGGGGAGCGAACAGG